UACAGAGGUCUCAAGCGUUGUUCGGAUUCAUUGGGCGUAAAGGGUGCGUAGGCGGCGCGGUAAGUCGGGUGUGAAAUUUCGAGGCUUAACUUCGAAACUGCAUUCGAUACUGCCGUGCUUGAGGACUGGAGGGGAGACUGGAAUUUACGGUGUAGCGGUGAAAUGCGUAGAUAUCGUAAGGAAGACCAGUGGCGAAGGCGGGUCUCUGGACAGUUCCUGACGCUGAGGCACGAAGGCCAGGGGAGCAAACGGG
rnacentral:rRNA from 1 species